rnacentral:rRNA from 1 species
UACGUAGGGUGCGAGCGUUAAUCGGAAUUACUGGGCGUAAAGCGUGCGCAGGCGGUUCGUUGUGUCUGAUGUGAAAGCCCCGGGCUCAACCUGGGAAUGGCAUUGGAAACUGGCGAGCUAGAGUGUGGCAGAGGGGGGUGGAAUUCCCGGUGUAGCAGUGAAAUGCGUAGAGAUCGGGAGGAACAUCUGUGGCGAAGGCGGCCACCUGGACCAACACUGACACUGAGGCACGAAAGCGUGGGGAGCAAACAGG